UGCAAGUCGAACGAUGACGGUGGUGCUUGCACCGCCUGAUUAGUGGCGAACGGGUGAGUAACACGUGAGUAACCUGCCCCCCACUUCGGGAUAACCUCGGGAAAUCGUGGCUAAUACCGGAUAUGAGCACUCAUCGCAUGGUGGGUGUUGGAAAGAUUUAUCGGUGGGGGAUGGACUCGCGGCCUAUCAGUUUGUUGGUGAGGUGAUGGCUCACCAAGACGAUGACGGGUAGCCGGCCUGAGAGGGCGACCGGCCACACUGGGACUGAGACACGGCCCAGACUCCUACGGGAGGCAGCAGUGGGGAAUAUUGCACAAUGGGCGAAAGCCUGAUGCAGCGACGCCGCGUGGGGGAUGACGGCCUUCGGGUUGUAAACCCCUUUCAGUAGGGAAGAAGCGAAAGUGACGGUACCUGCAGAAGAAGCGCCGGCUAACUACGUGCCAGCAGCCGCGGUAAUACGUAGGGCGCAAGCGUUGUCCGGAAUUAUUGGGCGUAAAGAGCUUGUAGGUGGCUUGUCGCGUCUGCCGUGAAAACCCGAGGCUCAACCUCGGGCGUGCGGUGGGUACGGGCAGGCUAGAGUGUGGUAGGGGAGACUGGAACUCCUGGUGUAGCGGUGAAAUGCGCAGAUAUCAGGAAGAACACCGAUGGCGAAGGCAGGUCUCUGGGCCAUUACUGACACUGAGAAGCGAAAGCAUGGGUAGCGAACAGGAUUAGAUACCCUGGUAGUCCAUGCCGUAAACGUUGGGCACUAGGUGUGGGGGACAUUCCACGUUUUCCGCGCCGUAGCUAACGCAUUAAGU
rnacentral:rRNA from 1 species